GGAAGAUGCCGCCGACGGGAUGGCAACUGCGCUUGAACCGCAGGGUACGGCAGCGAUGUCGUAGGGGUUCGAUUCCUCCAUCUUCCU
rnacentral:tRNA from 1 species